rnacentral:sRNA from 1 species
GAGAGAAGAAGCGCUUCCUGUUACCAGAGCAACUGCAAAGCAAACCAGUGAACACUGUUUGAGCUCUCUGAGGCACGGGCCAUUCUCUUCUCAAAAUAUAACACCCAAGACGCGGAUCUUACUCCCACGCUGAUCAGUUAAAUCACCGGCUUUUGCUCCCGUACCCCAGGCUGACCCGUACUAUCUUUAAAGCUGAGGAAGGGCUUGAAUUCCCAAUCCUCCUGCCUCCAGCGCUCAAGUGCUGGGACUGUAGAUGUGUGCCGCCAUGACAGCUCUAUACUUAUUUAUUGGGAAACAGUCCUUAACCCUUUAUCAUGCAGAGCCGGCCUUUCUUAUGGAUUGCAACGACCUCUUCGCUUGCCUGCGAACUGUUUAUGUCUAGCUUUAGCAAGUAACGCAAAUGAAUCCCAAAGAAGCCCUCUCUUCCAGAGGGCACCCCACACUUAUCUAUAAAAUUGGGAAAAGUCAGUCACAGGGUAGAGACAAGAUAUGAAAGCAAAAAACAGGUUUCUGUAAUGAAAACAUCACACUGGUCAAAAUUGUUAAAAAUUGAUCAACUAACAAUAAGGGUUAAUGAAAAACAGACGUGCUUAGCGUGGCAGCGCUCUACAGCGGUGAUAGUCAAGAACCCCAACCAAGAGGCCUCUGGGAGGAAAACAAAACGUGGCUGUAAAAAGUAGAUGACUCGUGUUAGCUCUGGGACUGGACGUGACUGGUUAAAGUUCUAACUGCAAGGGAUGGCGGACUCUCCAUAAACAUCUCUGUCUUAGUUCACUGACGUCUGGACCACUGUGAGCAAAAGUUGUACGUUCUCACUGGCAAUGGCCACAAUAUGGUCUACCGUACAGCAAGAGAGAUGCUCUUGUGACUGGGCUCACAGACCUCUGACUGCUCCCCCACGUGAGGUCCAGAUACAGACCAGUUCCACAGACAUUGGAACUCUUGUCUACAGUUUGUAGGGCAAGAUUUAUGCUGCAAUGGAGACAAAAAGCUACCCCUUACUAGCAGCAGUUCUGCUGUGUGGCUGAGACCAGUCCUGAACUCACGAUCCUCCUGCCUCCUCCCCUCAAGUACUGGGGUUUCAGGCAGGUGCUACCUUGCCUGGAUGAAACAACUUAUGCCUUAGAAACGUAACCGGAGUAUUCUGUAUUUGACAUAUUUCAUGUUCUUUGGAGGGAAAGAAUCAGAUAAAUGCAAAAUGACAGCAUUAUAAAAUUUAGAAAGGAUUUGUGUAAUUUGCGAUAUUCAAAGGACUGCUUUGCUCCUGUCCCCAAAGCAUUCAGUGGCUAUGUUUCAUGUGAAAGUGGACUUUAAAAUAUUGAUUUACUGUGUAAGGCUAAUGGGUUAGAAUAUUGAAAGUACUAUGGAUUUUUCUGAAACAUUUGAGAUUUAAGUUCCCGGUGUGAAAAGCGGGUUUGUGUUGGCCACGGGCAACUGCUAGCAGGAGAGACCCAGUUAAAGUGUCAUUACCCUCCGGGUAGUCAUCUCUUAGUAGAAGAGCCCCAAGCUGAACUUUCACCACAGCAUUUUUAGCUAUGGGUUUUGGCAACCAAUGUGAUUGCUCUCCCAUCUACUGCGUAGAUGCACAUAAGCACAGUCACACCCAGAUGCACACACGUGUCCUUAAACUGUAGCUAGUCAUAAUACCUACCACUGGGAAAGUUCACUUACUGUCAACAAGAAGUUUGUCUAUUUUAAAGAAAACAGCGCUGGCAAGAGGUCUCAAUGGGUGGCUCCUGCCACCAAGUCUGAUGACCUGAGUUCAAUACCCAGGAAAGAGCCAACUCCCUGAAAGAUGUCCCCUGACCUCCACAUACACAUAUCAUAGCAUGGAGACACGCAAAAAAUAAAUGAGUGAUAAAGUAUAAUUUAAAAAUGUAAAGGAUACAUUUUGACUCAAAAUAUUGUUUUGCCAAAGACCAUGGAACAAAUGCACAACCAUGAGAGCAUGAACCGGCAGGCCAGGCCACCUAAAUAAGGCUUCACUCCCUAGUGCUCCAGGAGGGGGAUGUCGGGCUCAUCCAUAGUGCUCCUGGGGUGGGGGAAGGGACAGGGGAAGCUCAUCCAUAGUGAUCCUGGGGGGAGGUGGAGGGGGAAGCUCAUCCAUAGUGCUCCUGGGGGAGGGAGAACUCAUCCAUAGAGCUCCUGGGGGAAGGGGGGAGCUCAUCCCUAGUGCUCCUGGGGGGAGGGGUAGAGGAAGGGGGAAGCUAAUCCAUUGCCAUGUUAAGCAAUAUUUCUUUACUUGUAAAUUCAGAAUGAUACCUGUAACCCUGACUUUACAUCGUCAUUAGAAGGAUACAGACUUGCCACCUUUGAAGGGCACAGGAGCCCUAGCUGGCUAUUUGUGAAUUAAACCAGCAAGGGGGGGGGGCACUGCCAGUUCCAGGAAUCCUUCAGCAGAGACCUGCUGCCUGGUUGCUCUCUGUCCUGUGAGAGGAGCAGUGCAGACUUGGCUUGCAGAAGGGUGUAAACAUUAGCAAGGCACACAGAGGUUGCUUAAUUACAAUCUCAAUCCUUAACUACAGAACCCAGCAGCUCCAGGACAGAAGGAAAGUACCCACCUCCCUUAGCCAAGUGACAGCUCACACUUAGUGACUCUCAGAAUCAGGCAAGCUGCCUGUCUGUCAGGUUACAGACACUCAGGCCUGCUGGUGGCACCUGGUGGCACCUUCCUUUCAGGAUGUUAAGUCUGACAGCAACAGGCUCCUGCAGUAAAACCCAUAAUUUAAAACCAAGCGCUCUGUUUUGCCCGCAUGACAAGAAUAAACAAUGAAGGCAGGCAUGUGGAGUCACCUUGGGACCUUGACAGCAGCCAGUGUGGGUGUCCCUGCAGAACAUCUCUGGAGGCCAGCUCUGUGCUUAUGUAACCCCCAGGCUUUCUCCUGCCCUGCUGUAAUUGGAACCCGCUGUGGCUUUCCCAGUUGGUGGCUCUGGGAGGAGGGGGUUCUGUUUGGAUUUAAUGAUCUCCCCUUGGCCAGAAGGUGAGGCCUGGCUGCUGCUGGGAAGUGGAUGCCACAGAGCAGCCCAGGGAAAUGCCAGCAAGGUGUCCGCAGGCACAUGACCUUCAGGGGUUCCACAACUGCACAAGAGCUCUCAGAAAAGGGGGGACACUCAGAAGGGCAGAUGUUGGAGGGUCUGCUGGGGGUCUCACUGAAAGUGAAGCAAGGAAGGAGGCCUGGGUGCUUUCCGUGACUGCAGAAAAAUCCAGAAAAGGAGUCUGAGCAGGUGUCUGUUCUUCUUAAAAAAAAAAAAGACCAAGACCUCAUAUCAAAAAGGAAGCAAAGAGGGAAGUCAACUACAGACGGACAAGAGAAACACACAGGACAUUCUCAUUCUGGACUAUGGCACCAAGUGAAGCCACCAGCCAGGGGUGCUCAGUUUAUCCUAUGACCUUACGUUCUCCACCUCUGAGGAGUGUGCAAGCCUCUUCCCACCUCUGAGGGGAGACCGUCCGAGCCUCUCCUUGGAGAUGACAUUUUACACAGUGCGGCGCUGUGUGCCUGAAAGGAUUGCAAUCAAACGCACUCCCCUGGCAGACAGGAAGUUCAUAGCACGUGACAGCCAAGCCUUGCACAGCCUAGCCAUUUCCCACAGACUAUAAGCAGGGCCCGCCGGACACACCCAGUGAACCCUUUCUGUGUUGGCACCCCACCUACAAGGGGGCAUACAGUCGGACUGUUUUAUUGCUGGGAUAUUCCAAAUACCCCCAAGAUAUGAAAAUGAGCACCCAGAGAGACACUGUUUCCUGGCAUAGUGUUUGGUUGCACUGCUCAGCAUUUGUUCUGGGUCAUUAAAGGUCCCACUUCAUAUGCUGUAGGCCAACCCUACUCAUGGAAAUUAAUUAAAGAUCCUAGCAUUACCUCUAUGUCUGGACCAACGCCCUCCCGGAACAUGUUUUAUCUGCCUGUAAAUGGAGUUUCUGGUGUCAGCAGAUAGGUAGCACCUUAAGAAGCUCCCUCUUGUCUGCAGUCACAUUCCUCUCUAUGCGAUGCUUCCGAAAACAGGAGAAACAACUUACCUUCAUAGAAAACUGGACACACGUCCUCUCGUCAACUUGGUAUGAGACACAAAGCAUGAACAGUCCAAGGUAGGCCACCACGCAGACCUGCAGCAGGGGACGCAGGAAAGAAACAGGACUGGGUUACGAGGAUGCCAGCAACACACGGCUCAGUCAGUGUCUCCCACAGGGGCCAUCCCUGCUGCCGAACCUUUUCUCUUGCUCGUGACUUGUGUUUCUCUCAACCUGUGAGGCACAACUUUAAAGAUGCAUUUUCGCUACA